GACGAACGCUGGCGGCGUGCCUAAUACAUGCCAGUAGAACGCUGAAGGAGGAGCUUGCUCUUCUGGAUGAGUUGCGAACGGGUGAGUAACGCGUAGGUAACCUGCCUGGUAGCGGGGGAUAACUAUUGGAAACGAUAGCUAAUACCGCAUAAGAGUAGAUGUUGCAUGACAUUUACUUAAAAGGUGCAAUUGCAUCACUACCAGAUGGACCUGCGUUGUAUUAGCUAGUUGGUGGGGUAACGGCUUACCAAGGCGACGAUACAUAGCCGACCUGAGAGGGUGAUCGGCCACACUGGGACUGAGACACGGCCCAGACUCCUACGGGAGGCAGCAGUAGGGAAUCUUCGGCAAUGGACGGAAGUCUGACCGAGCAACGCCGCGGGAGUGAAGAAGGUUUUCGGAUCGUAAAGCUCUGUUGUAAGAGAAGAACGAGUGUGAGAGUGGAAAGUUCACACUGUGACGGUAUCUUAACAGAAAGGGACGGCUAACUACGUG
rnacentral:rRNA from 1 species